rnacentral:rRNA from 1 species
UACGUAGGGCGCAAGCGUUGUCCGGAAUUAUUGGGCGUAAAGAGCUCGUAGGCGGUUUGUCGCGUCGGGAGUGAAAACCAGGUGCUUAACACCUGGCUUGCUUUCGAUACGGGCAGACUAGAGGUAUUCAGGGGAGAACGGAAUUCCUGGUGUAGCGGUGAAAUGCGCAGAUAUCAGGAGGAACACCGGUGGCGAAGGCGGUUCUCUGGGAAUGACCUGACGCUGAGGAGCGAAAGCGUGGGGAGCAAACAGG